AUUCUGUGAUGAGGGCACUUCCGUAAUAAUUCUUUGUACCUUUUCCAUGCCUCAUACAAGGACUCAUCAUCCAUUUGUUGGAAAUUAGUGAUCUCGUCCCUCAACUU
rfam:Gossypium raimondii chromosome 1, whole genome shotgun sequence.